rnacentral:rRNA from 1 species
AGUGAACGCUGGCGGUAGGCCUAACACAUGCAAGUCGAACGACAGCACAGUAAGAGCUUGCUCUUACGGGUGGCGAGUGGCGGACGGGUGAGGAAUACAUCGGAAUCUACUUUUUCGUGGGGGCUAACGUAGGGAAACUUACGCUAAUACCACAUACGACCUACGGGUGAAAGCAGGGGAUCUUCGGACCUUGCGCGAUUGAAUGAGCCGAUGUCGGAUUAGCUAGUUGGCGGGGUAAAGGCCCACCAAGGCGACGAUCCGUAGCUGGUCUGGGAGGAUGAUCAGCCACACUGGAACUGAGACACGGUCCAGACUCCUACGGGAGGAAGCAGUGGGGAAUAUUGGACAAUGGGGGAAAGCCUGAUCCAGCAAUACCGCGUGGGUGAAGAAGGCCUUCGGGUUGUAAAGCCCUUUUGUUGGGAAAGAAAAGCAGCAGGUUAACACCCCGCUGUUCUGACGGUACCCAAAGAAUAAGCACCGGCUAACUUCGUG